CACAUCCUGUGAUUAUAUAUACAUAUAUUACACCACCAAAGUGGCCAAUUAAAAUAGGCAUCAAUUCUAGCCACACUUGUAAGUGUUCUACAAAUGAAUAACAGUUUUAUAAAUUCCAAGAGAAUGAUGCUGACAUGUUUUAUUACACAUUUAAUGAGACAUUCUUUUAUUUCAAUUUCACAAUUUUUUUUCUUGGCUUGCUGGCAAUAGCUCUUUAUUUAGGUUAAGUGUAUUGCUUUGUAGGUUCCUGAAGAACUCAGCAGCCUUAGCUCUCCCUCAUGCCAGAUGUACAGAUGGAUGCUGUGUGUUAAAAUGGACACACCCAACUAACGUUUACCCAGGAAUCCCUUUGGGGACCACCGUCACUUAGACAUGGCCCAUGACACAAAGGUGAGAUUGCUCUUCCCUUGAAGGCAGGUAUUUCCAGGCGGAAGGCAUGGGUCAGCUAAAGCUGCAUCAGGUGUAGAAGCAGGAAGGGAGCGUCUAGGCUGACAGGAUCUGGCCAGUUUUCCAAAUGGAGCCAGUGGCCCGCUAGGUGUUAAAAGUGACAUGAAAGCAGGCACUCGCGCGAGCCCAGGAAGUCUGGUGAACUGGGGUUCAAGGAGUCUGUCACUUUGGACAAUUCCACAACUAACCAUCUCCCCCCCCCCCUGCUCACCUGGCCACUGUCACCCCUCAGAGGACUGUCACAAAUGAGAAUGUUACUUUUGUACAGAAGUGAGGACAGAGACGGGAGGUAUCAAAGUUCCCCAGACAUAAAAGAGACACAUCCAGGUGCGGUGACUUAAGGACCCACUCCCAGGUGGAAAUGGUAAGGAAGCAAGAGAAACCCGAUAGGAUGGGGAGACCCCUGAACAGGGGAAGCUCCUGCCCUAUCCACGGAAGACCCUGAGGGUAAGCGAUGCUCCUCUGAGCACGUCCACCUAGGCGAUGGGAUGGAUGUUCACACUGCCAAUUGUUCAGCCACUGCUGAGACCACCCCCAUGGGACGGUCAGCGCCAGUCAGCAUGGCAACCCCGCUCUAGAGAAGCUGAGCAAGAGCGCUGGGCAGGCCUGCCAGACUCAGCUGAGCGCACCACACAGUGCCUUCUCGGAGGUUAUUUUACCAGUCCUGGCCCCGGUUCUGGACGGGUGCUCCCCAGUGUUUAAGGCAGAACACAGUUAUUUAGAGCAAGAGGGUUGUGAUUUCGGCCAUUUUUGAGUCUCAAAGUUGCUGCCUCCUCACCCAUGGCUUCAUGACUUCCCAAGCCCCGUUUUUUGUAACCUGUAGAGGGGGGAAAGGGCAUCACCCUCGUGUCUGGGAGAUUUAAUCCAGUGCUCACAGGACUGUGUGGGGUCUGGCAUGCACCGGGUGUUCUGUGAACAACGGUGGUGGUUCUUGUUGUCACCCCAAGGAAGAGUGUCUAAGAGGCUGCACCAAGUCCUCCAAAGCCCCAACUUUUCCUAAGUAUGGCUUUGCACCUUUUUUCUUUUUCUCUUUCUUUCUUUCUCUCUCUCUCUCUUCUUUCUUUCUUUCUUUCUUUCUUUCUUUCUUUCUUUCUUUUCUUUCUUCUUUCUUUCACUUCAGGAUGGGUCUCUGACUAGAAAGGGUUGAACUCAGGAGGGUGUGGACCAGUUGUUACUAGGAAUACAUGUUCUUGUCCCCUCUUGGGUGUGUAAUUGUAAUUUCCCUGAAAGGAUGCAGACUGUUUCCCAGCUCCUGUUUUCCAGUGUAGUUGAGUGAAGACACCCUGCCCAGGCUGCAUAUUGUGGUCUUCGCUGUCGGCUCUUCUCUUGAGCUCUUAUAGACAGCCUUGUUGGGCCUGGCAUGGGUCCCUGACACCAAGAUCUCCCUGGGUGCUGCCCUGGGGAGGAGGCUGGAUUUCCUGGACCCAGAGCCUGGGGCCUCCUUACCAGCCAUGAGAGAGCUGUUUAGAUGUGUUCAGAGCUUCAGAAAUGGGGUGCAUCUUAUUUGCCCAGUGGCUGCCUUUCCUUUUUCCCAGGACCCUUGGUCUGUCAGUUACGCUGCCUCUUGUCUUUGCUGUCCCCUUUCCUGUUGCUCUCGGCCCACUUCAGACUUCACCCAAUGGUUCCCAAUCUCCGGCUUUAUCCCCUUUGGUCUAUUUAUCCCUCAAAUGCUGGGUGCCCUCCUCAGAGUCAAUCACUUGGAGAACUAGAAGAUCUCCCACUCUCCUGCGGAGACAGGAAGCCCAGCCUAAAUGCUUACACCCAUCCCGAGCCCUCUGCGUGGAACAGCACACAUGUAGUUGGUGGAAGGAUUUGUAUAUAUUCCUCUAAGAAAAAUCAAACCAAUAGACAGGUAAGACAAGCAUUUUCCUUUAGGAAAACAAUGACUCUUCGGAAAGCAGGAAGGACUUCUACCCACAGAUAGCACAUUAGAAGGCAGGCUGUGUCUCUAGGAACUGUAGUGGAUAUGGGAUUUAAACAAAUACUCCAAAGUGAAGGUUUUUGUAUAAAUUUCAAUAUAGAUUAGGAGGGAAGUCUACUCCUUGGCUAGUUUGUAGGAUUUGAUCCACUGUGUUUCUAGAUGAAACCUAAGUAGUUGGGACCUUUAUCCUUGCUGGUUUAGCUUCUUGUAGAGGCAAAAGUGGAGAUUGCAGCAUCAUGAACCAGCCACAAGGUGGCGCAGCACUCCUAUAUUUGGUUCCUGAGCAAAUAAAUGCAUUAGGGGACCAUGCAUUGGGAGGGAAGAUGUUGGAAUUCCAGAAUUUGUGGAGAAAAUCUGAAAACUGUAACUGUCAUGUCUUCUGUUCUUGAGGCCAACACGGUGUAUCAGCUUAUUCUAACUCCUAUUCCAUUAUGCCAAAAUAGCAUUAAAAAGCCACAGAACCCUCAUAAAACAUCAUCUAUACUAAGACCCACAUUAACGAACACCAAAUUAACGAAUACCAAAACAUUAUAUGCACGACAGAGAGUGAUGACCAUGCACAGAAAACCCAACAAUUUCUGUCUUAAACUUACAGGAUAAGAGCUGAUGUAGCGAAACACUGAUGGUAAAGUCAACAUAAAACUGGCAGCCUUGGCUACGCUCAGCACCUGCAACUCACUAGAGCUUUCCAAAAGAAGCUACAUGGGUGACGGCAGGUGCUAAACGGUAGGCAAACCUGUGCUCAAAUGAAGCACAGCUAAGAGCAAAGCCAUGAAAAGGAGCCAUACCUCAGGCCUAUGGCCGCACUGGGCGGGCCAAGUAUAUUCCAACUCGGCUACGGUCUUCAAAUCCUCACCUCCGUAGCAUCCCUGUUUCUGACACUAUUCAUGAACAGCAUUUGUAUCUGUCAUUACCCGACCACGCUGGUGGUAACAGGGCUAAAUCCUCUACGGAACCAAGCCUAGUGCAUUCUCAUCCCAACCCAUUAACAGUACUGACAACUGGUUAAUUAAAAACCUAACCAGUGCUUGGGGCUUAUGGGGGGGGGGGGCAAGAAGCCCUGUAAAAGUGUAAGAUAAAUGAGUAACGCGGUUCACCUGGAGCUGUCUUUGUAUCUUGGACGCAGUGAGCAAACGCCCAUCUACAUGUGACAGAAAAAACAAACCACGAAGCCAAGAGAUUGCACAUCUAGCUGGAUAAAAUUCUGUCUUGACAUAUGAACUGAUUAUGAAUAACUUGAAAAUGGUGCCCAGCCCCAGAUUAGCCAGAUUGGUCUGCUGUUUUACACCUUUGAAGUCUGCAGUGCCCCAUUUUACGCUAGCCCUAAACAGUUUGUCAUUUGAUGGCUGUGUGUUUUCCAAUUUAUAGGACGGCACAUUUUAAAAGUAAUCUUAUCCAGGUCAAAUAAUCCUAACACCUGCAGUAGAGUGAGCCUAAGGGGUUAUUGUUAAUAGCUGACCUUUACAGUUUCUGCAGCUUAUGGAUUUCACACUUCUCCCUAAAAUCCUUACAAUGGAGAUGGGUUAAGAACUUAUUUUUAGGGGCUGGUGAGAUGGCUCAGUGGUUAAGAGCACUGAUUGCUCGUCCAGAGGACCUGGGUUCAAUUCCCAGCACCCACGUGGCAACUUGCAGCUGUCUGUAACCCCUGUUCCAGAGAAUCUGACAUCGUUAUAUCAAUGUACAUGAAAUAAAGUUAAGUAAAUUAAAAAAAAAAGAACUUUUUAAAGCAAACUCAGUAACAUGAAAAAGAAGAGUGAACUUCUAGCAAACUCCUGUUAUUAUUAGGUCUAGAUUUAUGUCACAGUUUUACUAAUUAUGUGGGUAGAAAAAAGAGCUUUAAAAAUGGUAUUUAAUGUCCGAAGGUCCUCGGGCUGUCCUGCUUUAAGCCUGAGCUUUAAUAAACACUUCUACUUCAUUAACCUUUAGCGUCACUACAGAACUACGGUCCCCAGAUGAGCUGACAAGCGUGUACCCCGGAAUUCUGCAGACUGAAUAAGCGAGAACCAGGUGGGGUGUGAGCUUUUCUCCCUCCCUGCUUCUGCUCCCUUGUGUCCCCGAAUACCGACUGGGGGUUUGAAGAGGAUUAACUUUUUUGCUUGAGUACAAAAAUUCUACAGUUUCGUAAUAGUGAUUUAGCAUUAAACCUGCACGAGACCAUGGCAGGAUGUGUAACCUGUGUUGACUGCUUCUUCUCUGAGGUAACUGCAUUAGAAGCAAAGAACUAGCUGAGGCCAAAUGAGAGGCUGUUUUCCAAUGUGCCUUAUUUUCAACUACGCUUCUACACAUGAAAGAGUCAAGCAGUAACUACACAACUAGCUUUAUUAGACUGGUUUUACAUAAAGAAGCCAGAUUAGUUUGCCUAUCUAAAGUACAAGGUACAUGCACUCAGAUUAUUCUAAAACAUGCUGUAGCGAAGUCUCCAUUUAAAUCGAGUUUUAUGACUGGUUCUCUCUCGGGGCAAAGCUGAUCCAUUAGACAUUUCCCGAAUGAGUUCUCAUGCAGUAGCCACACAACCGUCUCUGUUGGUGAGGGCACUGGCUCACUGGGACAUUUCCUGGUUGGGAGUCAACAUGCAAACUUGCUUUAUUGAGGCUCGUCCUUCAAUGAUCUCUCAUGCUCACUCAUGAACUUACGUUGGAUAAUCACCCCCAACUCCCGUGUAGACUUCAAGCUCCAAUGUUCAUAGCACCAC